rnacentral:rRNA from 1 species
AAUAGAUACCCGGGUAGUCCACGCCGUAAACGAUGAUAACUAGCUGUCCGGGCUCAUGGAGCUUGGGUGGCGCAGCUAACGCAUUAAGUUAUCCGCCUGGGGAGUACGGUCGCAAGAUUAAAACUCAAAGGAAUUGACGGGGGCCUGCACAAGCGGUGAAGCAUGUGGUUUAAUUCGAAGCAACGCGCAGAACCUUACCAGCCUUUGACAUCCCGGUCGCGGUUACCAGAGAUGGUUUCCUUCAGUUCGGCUGGACCGGUGACAGGUGCUGCAUGGCUGUCGUCAGCUCGUGUCGUGAGAUGUUGGGUUAAGUCCCGCAACGAGCGCAACCCUCGUCCUUAGUUGCCAUCAUUUAGUUGGGCACUCUAAGGAAACCGCCGGUGAUAAGCCGGAGGAAGGUGGGGAUGACGUCAAGUCCUCAUGGCCCUUACAGGCUGGGCUACACACGUGCUACAGUGGCGGUGACAGUGGGCAGCGACCCCGCAAGGGUGAGCUAAUCUCCAAAAGCCGUCUCAGUUCGGAUUGUUCU